rnacentral:lncRNA from 1 species
GGGGCUGGAACUCUUGCCUAACAAUCACAGGGUGGAGGGGGGUCCAGCUGAGCCUUACCGGGGCUCACCUUAAACCUGAUGUGGAAUUUGGGAAACAUCGAAGUCCAUUACCAAGUGGCGCAUCGCCAGUCUUGCAUCCAGGACACCGGCUGAGUAACCACCACCAAGGUGCACGGUUUUCUCUGCCCCAGGGGUUAAUGGUGAAGACAAGAACACUGGGGAGCUGCACCGAACAUUUGAGGGAUAGCACCUGUCACUGCUGUUCAGGCAGCCUUUAAGUGUUUCCCUUCAUAAUGGUAUUUUCAUUAAAAUGCACCUAUACAAAAGGAGAAAACACCAGCAAUGUUCCAGGUCCGUGUAAACAGCACUGUUUAUUCAGAGUGUGAAUCCCAGAGCUCCUUCCAGGUCUUCCAGGGAUGGGUUUCACACCCCCACUCCCCACCCUGACCUUGAAAGGGCCAAGGACACCAGGCAGCUGAGAACCGGCCCCAGCCCCAGGCACCAAUCCCCUCAGCUGCCCACCCCACAAGGCCGCAGCUCCAGAGGCUGUGACCUUCCUGGGGAGGAGAGGUCUGAGGUCAAGAUGAAAAUAACUGAGCAGAGGCCUCCAGAGCCACACCAGCACCCCGGUCCGGAGGGCAAGGCGGGCGAGAGUUGCCCUGGGUACCCAGGCAGCACGUCUGAGCCCUGCCACCUUCCUGGCAGAACUCAAGUCCCCAUAGCCAGCCUCUGGCAAAGCAGAUGGUGGACAGCAUCCUGAGGGACACUCGGCCCAUCAGCAACCAGGCCAGCUGCUGGGAGGCCCACUCGGCACCAUCUGGCUCAGGCUCCUGUACCCAGGCCACAGUGGGCGAUGGGUCCAGACCAACCAAUAUCCUCCUCCCUACCAUCCAAGGCCCUUGGCUUCCCCUUGGUGCUGCUACCUGUGGCUUCCUGGAUGAGAGCAGAGUUUCGUCUGAGGAUGAGCAGGAAGGAGGAGGAGCCAUGGCUGCACAGGUAGAGCAAAAUCUUCAGCACCUGGGGAAUCACCGGGUAUGUGGGGCUGGUAGGACCCUACACAGGAUGCUCAGGCCAGGGCCCGGCCACCCACCACUGGGCCAUGUACCCCCCACCCCAACCAGCAGCCAGGCUAGGACUCACCUUGAGCUUCACAUGGCCAGAGCUGCUGUCCAGGCGGUUCAGGAGGUAUUCCAGUAAGCACUGGCUGCUGCCCACCGACUCAUGGGAGAUUUCUGGGAUGCACUCGGGUUAGGAAAGGAGCAAGCUGAUGCAGGCCACAGCAGGGUGUGCUGGUGAGGAGAGAGCCCGCUCUCCUGUGUUAUCCACCUCCUUAGCUCACACUCCUUGCAGAUACCUACCACAGGCCAGGUUUCAGGAGCACUGGAGCUUCUAGGGUCUCCUGGGCCCCAGGUCUUUUCAUUUACUUUCCUCAAAGCACGAGAAGUCCCAAUUUGCCCACUGUCCUCAGACCAGAGGGGCAGCUGGGCUGCAUCCAAGGGGCCUAAUGGUAUCCCAGCUUCCAGACCCCAGCCACCCCAGGUUACUGUGAUAAAGGGAUCAUGUGUGCCCACAGCAGGGCAGAACCUCCAGUAAUCCCGGGUGCUGCACCAGGGCCCCUGCCAUCCACUCUGUCCACACGGGGGAUGUCAAGGAAGGAUACUAGCAAUCUCUUCAAACAGGUACCCUGGACAUGGGACAUCAUCGUCUGAGGUUCCCUUCAGGAGAAUUGGGAGCUGAAAGGGAAAAAGAGCCCUAAGCAUUCACCUUCUAUAAGAAGGUGAGAUUGCAGCCACCAAAGGUCGUAGGAGAAGGCCUUGCUCUCACUGAUGACAUGCCGGCCUGGGGUAGGACCUGAAAGGGACAAGAAUCGUUCUAAUGGCCAUAGGAGACCUGAAGGAGGGUCUCCUCUGCAUGGUCAGGGAUAUGUGGCCCCAGGGGAGAGGAACAUCAAUGCUGGUCCUCUAUCCAGACAAGAUGAGGCACAGCCCCAUCCUUCUACAUUUAUCAGUAAGACUAUUUGAAGGUACUUUUAAUAUACAUACUUACUGACUAGCAGAAGAAAAAGUUCAGGGCUGUGACACCAGCUCUCCUGAACACUGAUGGGCAGAAUCAGAACUCAGCUCAAUUAACUCCAAAGCUCCUUAAGAACAAUCAAGCUGUGGGCUUUUGUUCACACAUCAGUACAGACUGUUUGCUUAUGUUACCUGCUUGUCAGGAAAAGAUAACAUUUAUGGGGUUGAAAAAUGGAAACGCCUAUUCAAUACCUGGACUGUGGAGGGGUUCAAGGCUAUUUACAAUGACAAGUAUGGGGACCACGUCAGGUCCUAAAGCAGAGAAUACAGUCUGAACGCCAGGCACCUACAGUCAUGAACACAGGUAAAACGUGCACCACGUGGGUAUUCCGGGAGGCUGUGGGCACACGCCACUCCGACACACCGCCUAUCUGCCCACCACACCAUGAAGGGGGCCUGAAGGGAGGGCAUAAGGACUCCGCCAGAGCCCUGCCUAGGACUGCAGACCUGCUGUACCACCUGCCUGGGACCGUCCAGGGCCUGAGACUUCAGCCUCAGAAGUCAGAGAGCUGUCAAAGGACUUUACGAUUUGUUGUGACCAGCAGCUGGCAAAAGGCCCUGACCCCUCUCUUGGAGAUCUACUAAGACGGGCCUGCCGCGGCCUCUGUUCCAAGGUGUCUUCGUCUCCUACACGAGGUGUCCCUGUGCCCUGUACCGCGUUCUCCCGCGGUCGGAGUGGGCUCGCCUUUCUCUGGCGCUGCUGNNNNNNNNNNNNNNNNNNNNNNNNNNNNNNNNNNNNNNNNNNNNNNNNNNNNNNNNNNNNNNNNNNNNNNNNNNNNNNNNNNNNNNNNGGGCCGCCAUGGUCCAGAUGACCUCCCGGCCUGCCCCGCUUCCGCCAGGCGCGUACUCUCCAAUCACCACGCGACUCUGGCUCCAACAGCCAAUCGCUAGUGGCAGGCGGGCCCUGAGGUCGGCUUCGUGAACAAUUUGCACUUGAACCAAUCCGACGUCCGAAGGUAGAGACAGACAAGGAUAAAAACCAAUUGUAGGGAUUGAGGCCAGGAAAUGCUAGUCAACGAGGAAGAAUAGGAAGGAUGAUGGGCGGAAGCGCAGACUGGCCAAGCAAUGAACGCCGGAAGAGGGGGCCCCUAAAAUGGCGGCCUCCACGCGUGCCAGGAGGAUCCUCUCAUGUCAGCGAACGGAGCGGUGUGGCGGCGCGUGCGGAG